AACGAACGCUGGCGGCAUGCUUAACACAUGCAAGUCGAGCGAAACCCGCUGGUCUAUCGGCUGACGGAUGAUUAACGCCGGGGAACGUACUCUUGUGUACUGAAUCUCCCCGUGAGACGGGGACUAAAGCCGGAUACGCCCGCUGGUGGAAAGUUUGAUCGGAGAAGGAUCGGGCCGCGUGAUGUAAGGUAGUUGGUGCGGUAAUGGCCCACCAAGCGGACGAGCCAUAGCUGGAUUGGGAGGAUGAUCAGCCACCCUGGGACUGAGACACGGCCCAGACUCCUCCGGGUGGCAGCAGUGGGGAAUGUUAGACAAUGGGGGCGAGCUUAAGGCAGCCAUGCCGCGUGAGUGAUGUAGGCGUUAGGGUUGUAAAGCUCUUUAAGCUGGGAAGGUAAUGACGGUACCAGAAGAGAAAGCCACGGCUAACUACGUG
rnacentral:rRNA from 1 species